rnacentral:rRNA from 1 species
GCUUAGAAGCAGCCACUCAUUAAAAGAGUGCGUAAUAGCUCACUGGUCGAGUGACUCUGCGCCGAAAAUUUAACGGGGCUAAACUAUACACCGAAGCUUGGGAUACAUCUAAUGUAUGGUAGGAGAGCGUUCUGUAUGGGGAGAAGUCGUAGCGAAAGCGGCGGUGGACUAUACAGAAGUGAGAAUGCCGGAAUAAGUAGCGAGAAUUAAGUGAGAAUCUUAAUGGCCGAAAGUCUAAGGUUUUUGGAGGAAGGUUCGUCCGCUCCAAGUAAGUCGGGAGCUAAGGUCAGGCCGAAAGGCGUAGCCGAUGCACAUACGGUUGAUAUUCCGUAACCAUCUGUAAUUUAAGCAAAGGGACACUUCAAAAGGGUGUGACCCGGGCGUUGGUUGACCCGGGCGUAAGGGACCGAAAUUAGAGUAGGGAAGCACACUUAGCUGAAGGCGAGAAAAGCUUUGCGUAUAGAAACAGAUGCCCGUACCGCAAACCGACACAGGUGGACAGGAAGAGAAUUCUAAGGCCAGCGGGAGAAGGGUAGUUAAGGAACUCGGCAAAUUGACUCCGUAACUUCGGAAUAAGGAGUGCUCGAAAGAGCCGCAGAGAAUAGGCCCAGGCGACUGUUUAGCAAAAACACAGGUCUCUGCCAAAUCGAAAGAUGAAGUAUAGGGGCUGACACCUGCCCGGUGCCGGAAGGUUAAGAGGAGGAGUGAGAGCUCCGAAUUGAAGCCCCGGUAAACGGCGGCCGUAACUAUAACGGUCCUAAGGUAGCGAAAUUCCUUGUCGGGUAAGUUCCGACCCGCACGAAUGGUGUAACGAUCUGGGCACUGUCUCAACUACCCACCCGGCGAAAUUGUAGUACCGGUGAAGAUGCCGGUUACCUGCGGCAAGACGGAAAGACCCCAUGGAGCUUUACUGUAGCCUGAUAUUGGGUUUCGGAAAUCUAUGUACAGGAUAGGCGGGAGACUGGGAAACAUGAGCGUCAGCUUGUGUGGAGUCGAUGUUGGGAUACCGCCCUUAGGUUUCUGGAAUUCUAACCUGCGGCCGUGAAACCGGUCGGGGGACAUUGUCAGGUGGGCAGUUUGACUGGGGCGGUCGCCUCCGAAAAGGUAACGGAGGCGCUCAAAGGUUAGCUCAGCACGGACGGAAACCGUGCCUCUGAGUGUAAACGCAAAAGCUAGCCUAACUGCGAGGGUGACGGCCCGAGCAGUAACGAAAGUUGGAGUUAGUGAUCCGGCGGUAUGUGAAUGGAAAUGCCGUCGCUCAACGGAUAAAAGCUACCCUGGGGAUAACAGGCUGAUCUCCCCCAAGAGUCCACAUCGACGGGGAGGUU